UGGUAUAUAUCAAAAUUGCUUUGGGGACUAAAUAAGCAACUGCAAUAACAUUAAAGUCUCCUGUAUAUUAUAUAUUACGAAAGAACAACAAAUUGGUAUUCGGAUAGAUAUUUAAGAAGAAGUUGAUAAAAAAAAAGUUUUUUACCAAAAAAAAAAAGUUGAUAAAAAGUGAGAAAAGUGGUGAAGUGGGUGUCACGAAACGUAUGAAGAGAACUUAGAGAAGUGUGGAGUGGGGCUGUGCUGUUUCUUGUCGGCUCCU
rnacentral:lncRNA from 1 species